CAUUGUACUGUCGACAAUGAUUCAUCGAUUCCCGACAUCGGCCUCUGCUGUGUGGGAGGAGUUCACUAAUUGAGAGCCGCAACAAAAGCGAAGGAGAGACAAAUCAAUCAAAAAUUAUUUAUUUAGCUCUAUGGGCCCAUCUGCCAGAGAUUUCCCAAAACUUUUCUUUCUAUUCCCGUUUCAAAGCGGUUUAAGUCCAAGAACCAAAGUAAAAAACCGACUAUACAUAGUAGAGCCCUGCCCGAAAACACUGAGGAAUAAGAACCAUAGCAACCGAGUACCCAAAAUUUACAAGUAUUUCCAAAACGUCUGGCUACUUGCUUUACAAGGAUUACAUCAGUUACAGUGAAAGCACACUGGACAGAGAAGGAUUCUAUAGAUUAUCCAAAAUAUGCUUCUCAAAAAUAGAGAUAUUUGCACGGCUCAUUCCUUCAUAAAAUUCAUUCACUUCAGCCAUACAUCACCCUUAAAGUUCCACUAACGCUAUUUCCACUACUUUUAAAGUUGUAGCAGCAUUUUCGAGAAAGCUUUCUCUUAAGCCAGAGAUAAUUUCAGAAAAAAAGAAGCAAUAUUGCCUCAAAUAGCAGUACGACAAUCAAAGUAGUGAUUUCCUUUCACAUUUUCCAUGUUCACUAAUGUCAAGCCUCAGCAAGCAUCUCGUUCUUACAAAUACAGAAAAACGUCGCUUCCUGUGGUGAUACUUGUUCAAUCCAUAUGUUUUGAUACAGGACACAUUCUCCUCCUCAAGUGACGAAAUGACCAACAAUGACCGGGCUUUUGUCCUUCGAGCCAAGCAGGAAAUCUACGCUUCAAUAUGAAGCCCAUUUGUAUGAAAAGCCAUGGAGAACAAAAGCGAAAAACAAUUCCAUAUUGAAAAGCGGACUUUUUCUCCGCCGGAAAUUUCAAUGAAUUCGAAUACCCUAACCAUCUUGUCUGUGUGUCUAAAAUGGAAAUGGCAUUGAUUUUCGGGCAUAUUCGAGGAUACUAUAUGAUACCCGGUACCUGCUUAAAGAAACCAGCGAUUAAGUACUAUCUUUUAGCUUCUAAUCUCUAUUUAAAAUAAAUAUUUUAAACCAGUAGAGUAUAAGUAUAGAAUAAAAGUUGAGGACUUAUUGGUAUCAGACCUACAUAUAGACUUUACGAAAAUAUCUUCCGUACUUCCCUGAAACUCCAAACGAUAAUACUAAAAAUCUGGUUCUUUCUUAACCAGAAUCUUCAAUGGAUGCGAGUACUUGAAUAAACAUUUUCGAGAAAAAGUCGUGUCCGUCUGUCCGUUGUUUGUCCGCCAGGAACCGAUCAUGAAGUGUUCUGGCGAAACUCAACACAGGAUCGUGCUAAAUCAUCCCCUCUUGUUUACAAAGCCAACUGAGAAGGGUAUAAAAACUUCGGAAGUGGGCUUUUAUCACAUG